CAGCAGCCGCGGUAAUACGAAGGGACCUAGCGUAGUUCGGAAUUACUGGGCUUAAAGAGUUCGUAGGUGGUUAAAAAAGUUGGUGGUGAAAUCCCAGAGCUUAACUCUGGAACUGCCAUCAAAACUUUUUAGCUAGAGUAUGAUAGAGGGAAGUAGAAUUUCUAGUGUAGAGGUGAAAUUCGUAGAUAUUAGAAAGAAUACCGAUUGCGAAGGCAGCUUUCUGGAUCAUUACUGACACUGAGGAACGAAAGCAUGGGUAGCGAAGAGGAUUAGAUACCCUCGUAGUCCAUGCCGUAAACGAUGUGUGUUAGACGUUGGAAAUUUAUUUUCAGUGUCGCAGCGAAAGCAAUAAACACACCGCCUGGGGAGUACGACCGCAAGGUUAAAACUCAAAUGAAUUGACGGGGACCCGCACAAGUAGUGGAGCAUGUGGUUUAAUUCGAAGAUACGCGCAGAACCUUACCAACACCUGACAUGUUCGUCGCGACUCUAAGAGAUUAGAGUUUUCGGUUCGGCCGGACGAAACACAGGUGCUGCAUGGCUGUCGUCAGCUCGUGUCGUGAGAUGUUGGGUUAAGUCCCGCAACGAGCGCAACCCUUACUUUUAGUUGCCAUCAUUUAGUUGGGAACUCUAAAAGAACUGCCAGUGAUAAGCUGGAGGAAGGUGGGGAUGACGUCAAGUCCUCAUGGCCCUUAUGUGUUGGGCUACACACGUGCUACAAUGGCAUUUACAAAAGGAAGCAAGAUGGUGACAUUAAGCGAAUCCUAAAAAAAUGCCUCAGUUCGGAUUGUACUCUGCAACUCGAGUACAUGAAGCUGGAAUUACUAGUAAUCGCGGAUCAGCGUGCCGCGGUGAAUGCGUUCCCGGGUCUUGCACACACCGCCCG
rnacentral:rRNA from 1 species